rnacentral:rRNA from 1 species
CCUACGGGAGGCAGCAGUGGGGAAUCUUGGACAAUGGGGGGAACCCUGAUCCAGCGACGCCGCGUGAGUGAAGAAGUAUUUCGGUAUGUAAAGCUCUAUCAGCAGGGAAGAAAGAAAUGACGGUACCUGACUAAGAAGCCCCGGCUAACUACGUGCCAGCAGCCGCGGUAAUACGUAGGGGGCAAGCGUUAUCCGGAUUUACUGGGUGUAAAGGGAGCGUAGACGGCGAUGCAAGUCUGAAGUGAAAGGCGGGGGCCCAACCUCCGGACUGCUUUGGAAACUGUAUGGCUGGAGUGCAGGAGAGGUAAGUGGAAUUCCUAGUGUAGCGGUGAAAUGCGUAGAUAUUAGGAGGAACACCAGUGGCGAAGGCGGCUUACUGAACUGUAACUGACGUUGAGGCUCGAAAGCGUGGGGAGCAAACAGGAUUAGAUACCCUAGUAGUC